AUUGAACGCUGGCGGCAGGCUUAACACAUGCAAGUCGAGCGGAGAUGAGGUGCUUGCACCUUAUCUUAGCGGCGGACGGGUGAGUAAUGCUUAGGAAUCUGCCUAUUAGUGGGGGGCAACACUCCGAAAGGAAUGCUAAUACCGCAUACGUCCUACGGGAGAAAGCAGGGGAUCUUCGGACCUUGCGCUAAUAGAUGAGCCUAAGUCGGAUUAGCUAGUUGGUGGGGUAAAGGCCUACCAAGGCGACGAUCUGUAGCGGGUCUGAGAGGAUGAUCCGCCACACUGGGACUGAGACACGGCCCAGACUCCUACGGGAGGCAGCAGUGGGGAAUAUUGGACAAUGGGGGGAACCCUGAUCCAGCCAUGCCGCGUGUGUGAAGAAGGCCUUAUGGUUGUAAAGCACUUUAAGCGAGGAGGAGGCUACUGAGACUAAUACUCUUGGAUAGUGGACGUUACUCGCAGAAUAAGCAUCGGCUAACUCUGUGCCAGCAGCCGCAGUAAAAC
rnacentral:rRNA from 1 species